UACGAGGGGAGCUAGCGUUGUUCGGAAUUACUGGGCGUAAAGGGCGUGUAGGCGGUACCAUAAGUCAGAUGUGAAAGCCCUAGGCUUAACCUAGGAGGUGCAUUUGAUACUGUGGAACUAGAGAUCGAGAGAGGAAAGUGGAAUUACGAGUGUAGAGGUGAAAUUCGUAGAUAUUCGUAAGAACACCAUUGGCGAAGGCGACUUUCUGGCUCGAUACUGACGCUAAGGCGCGAAAGCGUGGGGAGCAAACAGG
rnacentral:rRNA from 1 species